UACGUAGGUGGCAAGCGUUGUCCGGAUUUACUGGGCGUAAAGAGCGCGCAGGCGGUCGUUCAAGUCGCGUGUGAAAGCCCCCGGCUCAACUGGGGAGGGUCACGCGAUACUGAUCGACUCGAAGGCAGGAGAGGGUAGUGGAAUUCCCGGUGUAGUGGUGAAAUGCGUAGAUAUCGGGAGGAACACCAGUGGCGAAGGCGACUUCCUGGACCAGUACCGACGUUCAGGCACGAAAGCGUGCGAGCAAACAGG
rnacentral:rRNA from 1 species